AAAGGAAUUGACGGGGGCCCGCACAAGCGGUGGAGCAUGUGGUUUAAUUCGACGCAACGCGCAGAACCUUACCAGCCCUUGACAUGUCCAGGACCGGUCGCAGAGAUGUGACCUUCUCUUCGGAGCCUGGAACACAGGUGCUGCAUGGCUGUCGUCAGCUCGUGUCGUGAGAUGUUGGGUUAAGUCCCGCAACGAGCGCAACCCCCGUCCUUAGUUGCUACCAUUUAGUUGAGCACUCUAAGGAGACUGCCGGUGAUAAGCCGCGAGGAAGGUGGGGAUGACGUCAAGUCCUCAUGGCCCUUACGGGCUGGGCUACACACGUGCUACAAUGGCGGUGACAAUGGGAAGCGAAGGGGCAACCCCUAGCAAAUCUCAAAAAGCCGUCUCAGUUCGGAUUGGGCUCUGCAACUCGAGCCCAUGAAGUUGGAAUCGCUAGUAAUCGUGGAUCAGCACGCCACGGUGAAUACGUUCCCGGGCCUUGUACACACCGCCCGUCACACCAUGGGAGUUGGUUUUACCUGAAGACGGUGCGCUAACCAGCAAUGGAGGCAGCCGGCCACGGUAGGGUCAGCGACUGGGGUGAAGUCGUAACAAGGUAGCC
rnacentral:rRNA from 1 species